rnacentral:other from 1 species
AGAUCCCUACCGUGCCCGUGAUGAUAUAGGCGUUUUUGAGCCAACAGCUGUUCAACGGGAGCCUGUUCUCAGAGUAAGAGCGGGACCCGCUUGCUGCGGGGGCGCAAAGACUCGGAGUCUGGCACCCACCUGGAUUCUCCAGGUUCAAAAGUCUCUGUCACACGGCUGACCGGUGGGGAUUUC